rnacentral:rRNA from 1 species
CAGCAGCCGCCGCGGUAAUACGUAGGGUGCAAGCGUUAAUCGGAAUUACUGGGCGUAAAGCGUGCGCAGGCGGUUUGUUAAGUCUGUUGUGAAAUCCCCGGGCUCAACCUGGGAAUGGCAAUGGAUACUGGCAAGCUAGAGUGUGUCAGAGGAUGGUGGAAUUCCCGGUGUAGCGGUGAAAUGCGUAGAGAUCGGGAGGAACAUCAGUGGCGAAGGCGGCCAUCUGGGACAACACUGACGCUGAGGCACGAAAGCGUGGGGAGCAAACAGGAUUAGAUACCCCCGUAGUCCCUGUCUCUUAUAC